AUUGAACGCUGGCGGCAUGCUUUACACAUGCAAGUCGAACGGUAACAGGGUGCUUGCACCGCUGACGAGUGGCGAACGGGUGAGUAAUGCGUCGGAACGUGCCGAGUAGUGGGGGAUAACGCAGCGAAAGUUGUGCUAAUACCGCAUACGUACUGAGGUAGAAAGUGGGGGACCUUCGGGCCUCACGCUAUUCGAGCGGCCGACGUCUGAUUAGCUAGUAGGUGAGGUAAAGGCUCACCUAGGCGACGAUCAGUAGCGGGUCUGAGAGGAUGAUCCGCUACACUGGGACUGAGACACGGCCCAGACUCCUACGGGAGGCAGCAGUGGGGAAUUUUGGACAAUGGGCGAAAGCCCGAUCCAGCCAUGCCGCGUGUCUGAAGAAGGCCUUCGGGUUGUAAAGGACUUUUGUCAGGGAGGAAAUCCCUAGUGCUAAUAACACUGGGGGAUGACAGUACCUGAAGAAUAAGCACCGGCUAACUACGUGCCAGCCGCCGCGGUAAGAC
rnacentral:rRNA from 1 species